UGGUAUGCACUGGCUCGCUGACUCCUCCUUCUUGUAGAACCGUAAUGCCAUUAAUUUGGUGUUGCGGGGAAACAGGACUGUUACUUUGAAAAAAUUAGAGUGUUUAAAGCAGGCCAACGCCUGAAUACAUUAGCAUGGAAUAAUGAAAUAGGACGUUCGAACCUAUUUUGUUGGUUUCUAGGAUUGACGUAAUGAUUAAUAGGGAUAGUUGGGGGCAUUAGUAUUCAAUUGUCAGAGGUGAAAUUCUUGGAUUUAUUGAAGACUGACUACUGCGAAAGCAUUUGCCAAGGAUGUUUUCAUUAAUCAAGAACGAAAGCUAGGGGAUCGAAGACGAUCAGAUACCGUCGUAGUCUUAACCAUAAACUAUGCCGACUAGGGAUCGGAUGAU
rnacentral:rRNA from 1 species